UAAAUGCACGACCCUUUGGGGUUGAUUUUAAAUGUAUUUAUUUCGAUAUUAUUGCACGGCUGUGAGCCGAAGGACAUAAAGUUGGACAGUCGACUGGGAGUGGUAGUCCUUUGAUGCGUGUCGCAUAGAAGUGGCGUCAUUAAGCAGCAGCCAACGAAAAAAUAGCCAGCUGAUGACGUCGCUCUCAGGAGACCAGUUUGCGUGCGGUUUUGCCUCGAAUGGCCAUCCUGACUUUGUUGUUUGCCAACACAGCCUGAAACGCACCGCUAGAGUCUGUGACCAAAGACUGCCAUUUCUCUCACUCUUGAUGCGAUGCCAACAUUUCCGUAGCAACAUUGAGGUUCUCAUGAUUGGUACUUGGACAAAAGCAGAGAAAUGUCACCCCUGUCAAGACCGCCAGCAGCUGAUCAGCCGAUGUGAGCUCAGCUGAGGUCCAGUUACAGCAGCUGUCACUCACACAUCACGAUGGAAGCCUUCCCUUCCACGCGCGUAUGGAAUGUUCACCUCACACGCAGCCACAAAGUAGCCCACCUGAAUGGCUUGAAACAACUGCAAUGGACAAAGGAGACCUGAAGGACUUUCAAAAACUGGAAAUGCUACUGGAGGUGAGAAAGACCCGAAGGAAGGACAUGGAACUUGGAAAACUGAAGGACCUGAAAGAACUGAAAAUAAUCUUGCACACUUGAGAAUAUGAGGGAUUGAAGGGGGGCAGAGAACCUCAGACAUCUGAAAAUGGCCCCAAAGAUUUGGAAGGAACUGAGACGACUACUUGAGAAUAGAAAGACCUGAAGUGGUUAAAAGAACUGAAUGUGACCUCCAAAAGCUGAAGGACUUAAAAGAGCUGAACUGGCUCCUGGAAACUGGGAACCUUGAGGACUUGAAGGAACGUGUCCCGAAGACCGCGACAGACCUCGGAAAACUCGGACCAGGAGCGCGAUGGACGCAUCUUUGCGAUUUUCUGCGCGAGCUUUUAUCAGAGCCGAGUUGACCCACUUGAUAAAGAGGCUGAGCAGCAAGUGAGAAGCGAGCUUUUUAUCUUAUCCUAUUUUUGCUUCCACGCCUUUCUGUCUUCUAUCUGGACUUAUUGGCGUUUAUCUGAUCUUGAAGUGAAGUCUGCACGGCCAGGCACUUUGGAUUAGCUAAAUGGCUUUCAAGCGGAAUUGCAACAAUUCCUCAACGAAUGAUCGAUGAUCAACUUAAUCCACACCGGUUUGGAGAAUCGGUUUGUGUGUUUCGAGAGCUGGUUUGACUCCAGAUUGUCGGCAUUUCAACCUCUCAACAGUAAAUAUUGACGACUGACUACUUAUCUUUUGUGUUGACUCAAAUAAGACUUUUGCAAACGCUUGCUUUUACUUUGCAAAACAAUGAUCAAUGUUUUGGGCUGAUUUCGAGGCCAAUGUUAUGGACCGGACUAGCUGCUGAAUCAUCAUUUCUUUGCUCAUGGAUUUUCUGCACUGUCAAUUCAAAAUAUUGUCCUGCCGUUGAAUAAAAGAGGCACUUAAAA